rnacentral:lncRNA from 1 species
GUGGAAAUGCUUUAACCUGCUUAUCAGGAAUAAUCAUGGCGAUGCUUUCAUUAUGGUUUCAUGAUGCUGUAACGAUCUUGCCAGAGUUUAUUGGAAGUCAUGCUGCUACUAGGAUACAUGGCUCAGUUCUGAUUGAAUUUGACAAGCAUUGGUGACAACAUUAACCAAAAUCAUGCUUUUUUGAAGGUCUUAAAAGUACAAAGCACAUCCUUAUCUUUGUCUCAAAACACUGACUCAUUGUUUUUGAGAAGAGAAAAUCGGAAAUUGGAUGAAUACUUUUCCUGAUACUGUAGAGAUUAGUGGUAGAAUAAUUAGAACAAGGACUAGAAUAUCAUUCUAACUUCCAGUCAAGAACUUGCUUCCAGGGUACAGGUGGACCUCUGCUAUCAGCCAGCACCCAUCACUCUCAGCUGUUUUUCAUGACUUACUCAAAUUCUACCUACUAUACAGUACCUCAGCAUUCCCUUCUGCUCACAUCUCUGGUGUGGCAAUAUAAGAGUAGAAUUAUUACCUCCUUCAAGUUAAAUAUCUCCAGAGAGUGCCUUGGUUAAGUAAGGGUACAUCACAUUGAUGAGUAGGUGAGACAACUUUUGUUGCCGGAACUCUUCCCUACAGCUUUUUCUUCCUCUGAAGUGGCAAUAAGUAAGGCACAGCUUGCUCUGCAGUUUCUACAAGAUUGAAAGUUCCUUAAGGUUAGGUGUAUCCGUGCAGCAAAGUUCUCUGUUGAUGUAAGGCUGCCACAAAACACACCAAACACCAGAGUGAGAGUUUAUUGGGGGCAACCUGACAGACUGGAGGGAAGGGGCGAAGAAGGAAAGGAGGGAGAAGGAGAGCGUCAGAGAGAGACAGAGACAGAGGUCAGGAGAUGGAGAGAGAGAGAGAGAGAGAGCCAUGGGUUCCGGCAGGGAGGUAGGAGCAGCGAAUCCCAUUAGGAUGAGGGUGGGGCUGACACCAGUGGUUGGGCCAUGUGGCCACCUGGCUUCCAGCAAUGGCAGCCAGGGCUAGAGCCUAGGAUGGUGUCAGGGUGUAGAUUACACCAUAGAUAAGACUGCGCCAUUUUACUAGCAGUUGAAUGACUUGGAAACCCAAUAGAGUUCAUGAAAAAAAAAUUGUGAGAGGUCAAGACACUGAGAUUUAUGAGUCACUAUUACCAUAGCCAAUCUAGCCUUCAUGAAUAUUACUAUUUUAAUAUAUUUUUAAGAAAGCAAUUAUAAAUGUAUAAUAAAUAUUGGUAUACAACAAGAUGGUUUUUCUUU